rnacentral:lncRNA from 1 species
UGCACAAGGUUUGGAGCCGGGCGAAGACGAUGAUCGAGAGUACUAUGUACUGCAGAAGCGCUGCUGUUUAUGUUGCUGUUCAGAAUAAAGGGAUGCACAUCAGGACAUGCCUGCCGUAGUGUCGUCUGAUGUGUACUAGUAAUCUAUCUUUUUGUUUCUUGACUGGGACACUAGUAGUCUAUCUAGUAUAACUAGUGUGGUGUCAAGCUUGCUUCAGUUGGUGCUAUGGUAGCGCUGAUGAUGUGACUGAAGCGCUAUGGUAGCGUUGAUUGGUGGUUACAGUGAACCGGACCUAUAUCUAACACAGGAUUUGUGUUGCUGUUAUUUAGCAGUACGUGCCCAUACAUAUGACUGAACGUACGAUAUGAUGCAGAGCCUCCAUUCUAUGUAUGCAAUCAUAGCAUUUUUACCGCCUAUAACUUGUCCGCGAUUAUAAAUACUCCCUCCAUUCCACAAUGUAGUGCUUCCUCUAUCUCCGUGCUUCAACUUUGACCGUAAAUUUAACUACCAAGACCGAUUGCGGCGGGAGCAAAAAUUAUAUCAGUG